UCGGCUAUGGUGUAACGGGUAACACACCUGCCCUUUCAGCGGGAUACUGGACGUUCGAGUCGUUCUGGCCGGC